CUUUUCAGAAAAAAAAGUAAAGAAUAUUUUCUCCAAUCCUUCUUUCAGUGUUUGAAGUUUGAACUAAUCACUAUAGCAUCAUGAGAGUCUUUCUUGCUAUCAGCGUUAAUGGUCUAUGUUUUUUUCCUCAUAUUCAGCUCUAUGGCCUAAUUGGUGACAACCCUUAGAAUGAGACUGAAAAAAGAACAUAAUGAGUUCUGAAAACAAAACUAGAUGAACAUGCUUUUUUUUUUGUUCUUGUAUAUUUUUCGAAGCAUACAAUUAGUUAUAUCAAUUUUCCCAUUGUACGUGAAAAAUGAAAUAAAAUGUGUGAAGUUUCUCUGGUAAUUUUCUUUUUGAUCUGGCAUCCACUCAUCUAAAUGAGUUAAAGCUCUUCAUAUUUUACAGGUCCUAAGUGAAUUAAUUUCAAACAUUGGAAGAAAGCUGCCACCUAAACAAAGGAAUUCUCAUGGAAUAUGGGCUUCACGUAUCUGUCAGAACAAAGCAGUUGAAAAUCCUAGUGCUGCACGUGGUUUAGUAGCACUUGCCUUUUAUCUUCUACCAAGCCCAAAUGACAUGGUUUUUCUACAAGAAAUAUCUUCUGAGCUACGAAAAGUUAUGGGUUCUGAAGAUAAAGAACCACUAGAGACUUCUGAGACAUUUCCAAUUAUUAAUCAUUCGACAAAGAAUGCACUUUCUACUUUUCUCAUUCAGGUGUUUGAAUCUUCUCUUAUCGAAUUGGAUUGGACUUUACUGAAAAUUAAAGCAAUCCUCACCGUCAGCAAUGAAUCCACUAGCCUUGGUAAGUCGCAACAAUCCGGUGAAAGACCAAACGGGCUAGAGUUGGAGGAAGCACUUUUCACCAGGUCGGAGUUGAUCGUGCAUCUGCUUUCAUCUUUUGCGGAAAUGAACCUUACAGGUAAUUUUCUAAUUAUACAUCUUCUGAGACAGCAUCUUGCUGUUUCAUUCAUCAUCUUAGAAUAUGUUUUUAUGGUAAAAAUGCAGAUUCUCAAGCAGAACAGUUUUUGAAAAUAACCACAAAGUUUUACAAGCAUCUCGCUCGUAUGACAAAGCUUCAGAUUGCUCGAAAAGGAUACAAGCAGUCAUUACCUGGUCGUAAAUUUCAGACACUAGCAGAAGUGACUUGCACAAUGCUUACAGCUCCGCUCUAUAAUUUUGUUGCUCUUGUGCAAAGGGUAUGCUUUUGUCUUCCAUUAGUACAUUAACUUGGUGAUUUGGCCUUUCUGCAAAACAACAAAUGCACUUAUUGUGAAUCUGUGAAAGAGGGACAUGUUUCUUCUUAGCAACUUUAGCUAAAUCACCGCAUGCUUCUCAGCUAAAAGAACUACAGUGAACAUUUUUGAACUACAGUUGCCUAGUUUUGAAAUUGUGCAUUGAUCAUUCAAACUGUACAUCACAGUUCUCUAGUGGAAACUGAAGAGCAGUUUUUCCUGGAAGUUUAGAAGUAGACAAUUUUCGAAAUGGAAAAAAGCGUCACUUUUUUUGGAUUUUACUGAAAGAUCUACAAAAUUUCACUUCUAAUUUCCCUGCUAUGACUCUUCUGUUUUAUCGCAAUGCAGAACCAGCAAGAGAACGGGAGGACUAGAGGAAUCCUUAGCAAGAUCAAAAGGGAGAACAGGUGUAUCCCUGAACUGAUAUUCCACAUUGAAGACUACGAAAAAUAUCUGAUACAACUCAGCAAAAUUACAAAGAUCAACCUGCUGAGGCACGCAAAGCGCAGUAUUUCGAGGGAUUUUAGGAUACUUCAGGCAAAGAAUGUAUCUGUAGAGAAAGAACAGCAAGAAGCUGAGCUAAGCCAGGGCAGUUCUGCGUCAUCCAAGGGCAAGUCUAGUGGAGAUUCCGAAGGCCCAGACGAAGAAAACGCAUGCAAACCGGUUUUUUCGGAUGAACUGCGCGGUAGUAUUGCUGGUGAAGGUUCUGAGAAUGAGAAAGAAGAUGAAGAGGUGUCAGUGAGAAGGAAGAGAGCUAAGAAGAGCAACAUUGUUCAAGAUUCAGAUGAGGAAAGAUAAAAUGUGAAUUUAUUAUAUGCUUGUUUACAGUGUAGGGUGCUUACGCUAUAAGUUUUGAUGGCGAAAAGGAUUAGAUGGUUGUGAUUUUUGGUAAUCUCUGUAGAUCAUGACUGAACGUAUGAUUGCAAAGAAAGAAAUGCAACAAUUAGAAUUUUAUGUAUUGUUUGAAUUACAUAAUGUUACUUUGAAGUUCCUAGGGAAUGUUGGUGGAUGUUUAACCCGAAGCAGUAUCAGAGCUAAUUCUAAACUUUCACCAUUCCGUGAGGCUGUGGAUUUGGUUUCUACCUUCAAUAUUUUAUCUCAAUCUCUAAUAUCAUUUGUCAAUCUCGAGAAACUCAACUGUUGAAAGUAAUGUUUGAACUCACAACCUUAUGGGUGGGAGUUUGGAAUUAGUUUGAUAUCAUAUGAUCCAAAAAAUCAAUCUACUAAAACAAAAAGUAUUAUGUUUGAUAUGUAACAUGAAAAAUGCUUUGGGCCUCUCAAAAGGGUUCUAUAAGUAUUGGGCUUUUUUUUUUUUUGGUCUAGUACAGAUCACUUCGUAAUUUUAUUCUGUUUUAGUAGAAUAAUAUUGUUUAUCAACAGGCGGUAUAACCAAAAAAUGUGUAAAUAAAUAAGGAAAAAAUUGUUUGACUUGCUCUAUCAAAAUAUUUGUAAAUUUUUCGGCCAUCUUAAAUUAUAUUUAAUUUUCAAUUUAAGAAAUGUUUUUUUCUCUCAUAGUUAAUCAAAUAUCUGUACAUUACAUAAAAUUUUAAAAAAUAAUUUUUGAAAAUAUUAUUUUAAUAUAAAAUUACUCUAUUAUGUAAGGAUUUAAGUGCCGUGGCACGAGAUCGUGCCGGAAAGUUGCCGGCAUGGCACAACACGGUACGUGCCGAGCCAUGCCGAUGCGUGCUGGUCAAAAUUUUUUUUGUCUACCGAUACAUAAUAACAUGAAAUAUUUAUUUUUUUUAAGCAAUAAAAUAUUCUAACUAUUUAUUAUGUCUUUUUAUCACAUCUUUUGAAAUUUAUUGAAAAAAUUACUUACUAAUUUAAAGAAUGAAAGCUUUUACGCUAUGUCAUCAGCAGAGAAUCUGUAUCGUGCGGGUAUCUUAUACGCACACUGCGACAUGGUGGAUACGGCCCGGGCCGACAGACAAUUAAAAUUUUGUUCCAAGCCGUUCCCUCCGGUGACGUCACUCCCCUUUUCCUCGAGGACGGUGAGCAUUGCCUUAAAUUCACCGCAGUGAUGUACACAGCAUCACCUCCCUCUCCUCCCCUCAUACUCACCUCUCUCUCUAAAUUCGAAAUUUAGGGCUCCCUAUACCUCUCUCGCAACCUCGAACAGCGAUCACCUCUCGUCUCCUCUCCUCUUCCUAGGGUUCGCGGAGGUGUGGGGGGGGAGAGAGAGAGAGAGAGAGAGAGAGAGAGGGGUUCGUUGAAGGUGCGAUCUCGGAGGGGAGGAGGAGGGGAAUGGCGGAGGAAACCAAGCGAGGCGGAGGCGCGGUGGCGGCGAUCCUCCGGGGAUCCUCCGACGACCGGAAACCGGCGACGGCGACGGCGAUGGCUUCGGCGGCGGCGGCGCCAUUGAAGAUCACCUUGAAGAGCGCCGACAUGAAGGAGGAGAUGCGCCAGGAGGUCUUCGACUGUGCCCGCGCCGUAACGAUCCUCUCUCUCUCUCUCUCUCUCUCUCUCUCUCUCUCCGCUUUAAUCUUGGUUCUUGAUUAGGGUUUAGUUGUGUGUGUUCUAUAAUCGUGUUCUACGAUCUAUUAUAGGCGUUCGGAGUGCAUAAAGUGGAGAAGGACAUUGCGGAGUACAUCAAGAAGGAGUUCGACAAGAACCAUGGCCCAACCUGGCACUGCAUUGUCGGCAGGAACUUUGGUAUUUGCUCUUUUUCUUCUUCUAUUUGAACUCAUUUUAUAAUUUGCUAUUCGAAGAAAUGUGAAUGACUUGGAGGAAAUUAAGGUUAAGGUUCUAUUCUUGCUAGUUCAUGCCCUAGAUCUUUAGAUGCCAUGCCAUGUGAUGUCUCGAAGAAGAUUAAUUCUAGGUAGAUAGAUUGUUGCUAAGCUGGUUAGGUAUCUGUUAAUGGGCAGUAGUUAGGUACUUCACCAGUUUAAAAAAUAUUUUGCUUACCAAAAAUCUGCUGUGCUUACUUGGCACUAUGAUUGUAUGUUUUUUUUUUUGUUUUUUUUUUUUUGUUUUUUUUUUUUUUUUUUAUGAUGGCUGAUUUUUUAACUUGCCAUUUGAUUUUGUUCAUUAAAGAGUCCUGGGUUAGAAUGGGAAGUGAUUAAGGAUUCUUCAAAAAUGUCCUUCAAAGAAAGAUUAUUUAAGAAUGGUAAAUUCCAGGAAUUAUAGAAGUUUUUAAGGGAAUUGGUUAAAUAUAAAAUUGUAUCUUGACGAGGUUAUGAUGUAAGGAAUCACAUCCUGAACAAAUUGGGAUAAGAUUAGGCUUAUUUCCCAAUUCCCACAUCUAACUGAAUUCUGCUCUAUUAAACAAAAGGAAACUCUUCUUUUCUUUUCGUUCCUCUUAAGUCUUAGUUCUUUUUGCUUUUUUCUUUUCUCGGGUAGAAACUGUAGAAUGCUGUUGUAGAAACACAAGAAUUUGCAGUAGAACUUUCACUUUUCUGAAUAUUGCAACUGAAUAUAAUGAAUUAAUUCAAAACAGAGCAUCUGAUUCUACAUGGAAGAUGUUAAAUGAUAUUCUUAAUCCAUUCCUUCUGACAAUUAUGAAUAAUCAAUCUCAUAUAGCUCAACAAAACUACAAGUGAUGAUCUCUAUGUACCUUGCAUCUGCAGGUUUCAUUAUGAUAGAUUCAUUUGACAGAAUGACACAUCCUGUCUUAUUUGGUAAUGCUAUUUAAUAUCUCAAGUCACACCUUUGUUUAUGAGGAACCAAACAAUGAAAAUCAAAGUGAUGUUUCUCAAUUUUGCAAGGAAGUCAUUGAUCAGUGAUCCUAUUUAAUAGGUUAUGAAAGAAACAGAUGGUGUCAAAUUAAUUUUUCUAGCUAUCAAAUAAGUCCUCCUGUCGAUCCCUCUAACCAAUAUGAAACUUAGUUGACAAUGAUGAUAGAGAUGAAGAACAGUUUGAAGGAUGGCUUGGAACUGUAGCAAUACUAUAAAACAGGCAUGAUGAAUCAAGAUAUCAAUUCGAAUUGAUUGGGUUAGAGAUUGACAUGAGAACGUCAUUUUCACUGGAUGAAUCCUUUAGCAACUGUGUCUGUUUGGUAUACAGAUCGAUGGCAACAUGGAUGAAACAUGUGGGUAUUCACACAACUUGAGCAAAUUGUUUUCAUUGAAUCUUAAUAUAUUGGAUCAGAUUAGUUUUGAUUAAGUUCAAUCUAGUUGAUUUGAGUUGGAUGGUUCCUUUCCUAAGUGAGUCAAUUAUUCUUAUGUUAUGUCGGAUUUGAGAUACUUCGAUGUAGGUAAGUUACUUGAAGUUAAAACUAAGUUUAUUUUUAAAAAAAUUAAUUUAUUUUCAUUAAUUUUAAAAUUCUCUAGCAAAAUUUCAUCUACACGGUGUAGAUUAGAUACACGAGAAUAGAAUCAAAUUCCUGUGGUAAGGUACUGUAGUUUGAGGGUAUUUAAGAUGUAAUAUUUUUUGGUAAUUUUAUUGUUUUAUAUUCUUGUUGGAUUAAAAAGGAGAGUGUAAAAGAGCUAUUGAGAAUGAGAAUCAUUAAAGGUUUAUAAUUUUCCUGCUUACUGAAAGAAGAUAGAUCAGUUUGGCAUAGUAAAGUCUUUUGAAAAACCAGUUUGGCAUACUCUUCUACCCAUUCUAUGAAGUCUUCUCUUUGAGGCUCUCUUGUUAAAUCCCAGGCUUUUGUAAUAUCUGCUAAACUUCCUCCCCGCUCUUUUACUUUGACUCUCUGGCUUGACGUAUGCAUGUUUGUUAUUAACUAAAUUUUUGCAUAGUUUCUUUAUCAUUUUACUGUUAAAACCCAACCUUUUUUCUUGUAUCAGCACUUACAAAUAAAAUGUGCGGUUUGAUUUCUCUUGAACACUUCCAAAAGCUGUUAAUAGUAUCUGAUCUGAUGUAUCUUAUGUGUCGUUGUUUGUUAUGUUUUUCUUUUAUCUCAUGCAGAAAGUUCAUAGAUCUUAUUGCUUGGUGUAUCAACUCAAUUCAACUAAAAGUUGGAUUAAGUAUGUGAUUAAUCAAAAGAAAUCAAGCUGGAUCUGUUUUCUGAACCUUUUCUUCCAAUUUAAUUUAAGCUGCUUUUUCUCUUAAAUUAGUUGUCUUUCAUAACUGCCUCCGACCAUUUCAUUUUCGGCCCCCUUCUACUUUUCUGGCAUAACCUUUUUUUUAAUAAUUUGACAAUUCCUAACAGUGAAUUUUCUGCUCAAUCAUGUCUAAGGUUUGACUAUAUCAAAUGGCCUCUCUCAUUUCAUAAUCAGUUUAUAGCAAAAUAUCUCCAUUUAUAGUCCUAUGCUUUGUUGUAUCAAAUGCUCGAAAUGCUGGUUUCAAAGUUUGGUUUUGACUAGCUCCUGAAGUUUCAACUUUGUUAGCUUCCGUGGUUGCUAGAGUUGCUUGGUAAAAAGCUGUUGAAAAGUUCUGGACCAUCAUAAAAUUAGAAAAUUGGAAAAAUGUUAACUAGUAGCCAAAUUUUGAUAUGUAAGACUGUUACUUUUUUGAGGAACUAUAGCAAACUUUUAUGUUAGUUUGUAUGGAAUAAAUUGGAGCAAGAAAACAUAAUAUGUAUAAACCCUUAGAUAGAUAAACAAAAACACUUCUGAAGGUGCUAAAAGACAACUGAAUCACGUUCUGAAUCGAGUAUUCUUGUAGCUUCGGCAGAUCUUAUUCUUUUCCAGAAAUUCAGCAAAUGUUAUUGUUGCUGUAUUGUUCCCACAGAGAUCUUCUUACAUUCAUUAUCAGCUCCCUCUUUAAUUUUUUAGAAAAAUUACCGCUGACAAAUUGGAAUGGUUCUAUCUGGCUUCUUUACGGAACAUAACGACUGAUGAUGGUUUCAUCUACCUGUAAUAUCUCGUGCAAUCAUCGUUUAACAUUAGCUUCAUAUCUUGGUGGUGCCAGGCUCGUACGUGACGCACGAGACCAAUCACUUCAUCUACUUCUACAUAGACUCAAAAGCUGUCUUGUUAUUCAAAUCUGGGUGACCGUGAAGCUGAUGCUCACACCAAUUCUUCUGAUCUCUCUCUCCCUCCCUCAUGCCGGGCCGCCCUGUGUAUCUUAUUCCCUUUAUGCAUGUACCGUUAGCCGGGAACUGAAGCAGCUAAGUACCGUGGUUAUGUCUCUUAUUUGAGGAAGCAAUGGUUAUAUCUUUCUUGUGAAGUAUGUAUUGUAUUUUAAUCUUUCGCAGUAGCAAUCUUAUAUCAUUUGAACUGCCCGCGAUAACAUCUCCAUUUGGUCUUCACCCCUUUUUUCAAAGGAUUUAUUUCAAAUUUGUAAAAAGAAGAUGUAAUUUGUAGGACGGUAGAAAGUAGAGAUGGUAUAAAGAGCAGAUUACUCAUGCGGCAGCUGAUGUGGUGGAUCUUGUCCAGGCAGUAAUAUGGCUAGCAAAGCGUUGGGUAAGCAGAAAUACCAAUGCAAAAUCUUCAAUUUGGUGCUUUUACUUCUGCUGUUGAAAGAAUCUGUGGAAAAAAAUAAAUUUAAUAUAUUGCUUUUGGUAAGAGCACUGCUUGUAAACAUUCUGAUAGUAGGCAAAGCAAAGCUCAAGUCAUAGCAGGCUUUACAGUUGGUGAAAUGGACGUGCGGCAUAUAAACAUUCCUAUUCAGUUGGUGCGAAACCUCCUUAUACAGUUAUUAAGUGGGUAAUUUUUUUUUCAUAACAGAUACAUUUUAAGUUAAUUAAUCAUUAUAUAGCUAAGCUGUAUUUUAAAACUAAAAAAAACACUUCAACUAUGCCAGGUAGGGCCAAACUUUUGCCUUUUGGGACGAUAGUUUUGCUUCUUUUGUCUCACGAGUAAAAUAGAAGAAUACUUGGCAAACACAUAAAUAAUAAGAUUACAAUUUCUCCUCUUUGGAAACUAAGAAACUUACAGUUGUUCAAUGUUCUGACAAAAAUCACAAAAACAUUAGAGAUCAAAUAGCAUCAAAUAGCGACCCCCAAAACCACCAAAUCCUAAUCGUUCACCAAAUACCGGCUAAAAAAUUUCACGACUAGAAAAAGCAAAACAGAGCAAAAUUAGCCAAAAUUACGAGGAUAUAUACAACCCAACAGGGCAAUUCACAAUUCACAAUUCACAGCAGCGCAAUGGAAGAAAUGUGGGCGUCGUCGAAGCUCCAGAGCCCUCCCAUGGCGUUCGCCUGCUGCGUACACUGCGGCGGCGGCGGCAGCGGGGCCGGCGGGAGCUCCUCCUCCUUCUCAUCCUCGUCGAGGACGACGACUCCGCCUUCCAUGUACGGUAUCUGGAAGAAGCUCAUCACGCUCUCGUACUCCCUGAGCUCCUCGCAGAGCCUCUCCACCUCCCCUCCCCCUCCAUUAACAUCAUUAUUAUUAGGGUUGGUAGUAGUAGCAGUAUUAGUACUACUACUACUGCAACAGGGGAUCGAAGAAUGAUCCUGAGGAGGAGGAGGAGGAGGAGGAGGAGGAGGGGGUUGGUGGUGGUGGUGGUGGUGUUGAUCUUCUUGUUGUUGUUGUUGUUGUUGGUUAGUAAAAAGAAUGGUGGGGAAGUUGAGCUUGGCCUUUUUGCCGCGGAUGCGGCGGGCGGCGCGGUCGUAGGCGCGGGCGGCGUCCUCCGGGGUGGCGAAGGUGCCGAGCCAGACGCGCACGCCCUUCCCCGGGUCCCGGAUCUCCGCCGCCCACUUCCCCCACGGCCGCCGCCUUAUCCCCCGGUACUGCGUCUUCCGCUCCCUCUCCCUCUCCCUCUCCCUCUUCUUCCGCCCCCCUGCGUCCGUGCAUUUUAUAUUAUAUUAUCAUAUAUAAUAAUAAAUAAAUAAAUAAAGGGCGAACUUCAAAUAUCACUCCCGUCGUACCGUAUUUUUUUAUUUUAUUAUUCUGUCGUUUAAAAUAUACUAAUUUAAUAUUCUCAAUUAAACAUUGAAGUUUCUCAUGUGCCGCAAAAGAAAUUUCUACAUGAAUAUCACUUUAUGUACUCAAACUUGCAUCUAUGAAGUUUUAUUUNUACAAAUUUUUUUUUUUCGAUAUUUUAUCUAGAUUUAUUGAAUAUCCACUUUAAUACUCUUUAGUUUUAACUUUAUCGCUGAUUUAAUAAAAAAAUUAGUAAAAUAGAUAAUAAAAAAUAAAAAAUAAAAUUACUGGGUGUUAAACCACAUAGUACUAAAAUAAAAAAAUAUGAAACCACAGAAAAUAUUUAAAGUUUAUCCUUCUUAAAAUAUAGAAAAACAUUCUUAUUUGUAAUUUUUUAACCGUCAAAUUAUUUAAAUUUUGUAAAAUAUUAAUAAAAAAAUUUAAUAGAAUACACUGUUAAUAAAUCUUUACAAAUAUUAAAAUAAUUUGGCAGCUAAAAAUUCACGAGCACAUAAAAACACAACAGAAGCUCAACUCAAUUUUAUAUACGUUUUCUUUUUUUUAAUCUAAGCUACAUAUGUAAAACUUAAGAUGAUAAUAUAUAUAGAAGAAUAUUUUAGAGAGAGAGAGAGAGAGAGAGAGAGAGAGAGAGAAAUGUUAACAGUUAAUUUACACACCUUUCUCCGUUGAAACCGGAUUGAAUUCUGCGAAAUCGGAGCCGUCGGAUCCGCCGGAGAAGAGAGAAUCGGGCCAAAUGCCGCCGCCGCCGCCGCCGCGAGAGUUUUUGCGCGGCGGGAUGAGGUCGGAGAUGAUCGCGCCGCCACACAUUUUAAUUUUUUUUUUUUCAAAUGAUAAUUAAUCUCUAUCUCUAUGAAAAAAAAAAAAGGAACGAAUUUAACGAGCUUUUUUUAAAAAUACGAAGCGAGAGAAUCUAAUAGAAGAACGUAAAAUUUAUAGUGGUUGCUUCAGAAAAGCGCUUAUAUUAGAUGGAAGGGACGAGAGAGUUGGGACUUAUUUAUAGCGGGUUUUUUUUUGGAAACGCGCUUCGCUGCAAAACGGAAAACUUUACCUCGGAUUCCACCAUGUGAUUAUUAUUAUCCUUUUUUUUUUUUUCCGCUUGUUCUAGAAUCUGGAGGGGCAUUUCGGGAAAAUUGCCCUUAUAAAAUUUGAUUAAUUUCAUUUGUAUUCUUGCAAAUUUAGUAAAUGAUAAAUAUAUUUCAAUAAAGAUUAAUUUUUUAUAUAUUUUUUUAAAAGAAUUGUGAUAUUUUCAAAUGUAUUUCUGUUAUUAGAAUUCGUUAUAAAAUUUUAAUUAAUCAUAGGUUAAAUACUUAAUCCUGAUUAGUUUUUGAUAUUUUUAUUUUUUUAUAUUAUGCUGUUAUGACUUAUGAUCUUUAGAGAGAUAUAUUUAUGAUUACAAAAUUAAAAAUAUAAAUAAUUUUUUAACGAUAACAAAUUAGAAAGAUAUAUUUAAAAUAUUAAAAUUUUUGCAGAUACAAUAUAUAAAAGUUAAACUUUACAAAAAAUAUAGUUAUCAUUCACUAUAUUUAUAAAAAUCUGUACGAAAUUAACCCUAAAAUUUAAUUACUUUUUCUAGAACCGCUUCUAACAGCUAAACAUAAGCUGUAGCCAAAAUGACUUUUUUGAAAAAAAAAAAAAAAAAAAAAAAUGUUUGAACCAACCCCAGCGGGUUAAGCCACUCGUCUUUACCAACUCCAACCAAUCAUAAGAUGCCACGCGUGGACCAAAGCCCACCAACUAACGUGCACCCGUGGACCACCACCACAUUCCCGCGCACAUUGUUUUUAUUUUCCUUCUUUAAUAGCCGUUGGUUUGACUCCCCCGGUCCACAGAUUCAACGGCUUGGGAUUGAAGGAAGCGUGAAAGGAAACCGGUGUCGUCAACGACUUUCUUUAUAGCCUGUGGGGCCCGCGCGGGUGUACGACUGCGGCUUGUGCGGAUGCAUCGCCGACUUUGGGUCCUGCCGAGGAGUGUCGUCGCCGACUUCUUAAGACGAGGGAGUGCCUACUGAUAGGGACCUGAAAUUGAACUAAAAAUUUGGUGGGGGUUGGUUUUAAUAGUGAGACUGUUCCGUCUACCAUUUGUUAUGUAAAUUGUAUGAAUUUUGAAACCGUGCGAAUGACUAAUUAGACGGUCGACUUCUUUUUUUUUUUCCCUUUAAAAUGUAUCCUAGCGAGACCGUCUUAUGAUACAGCGCAUGUCUCAAGUUCGAGACUGUAUUCAUCAAAUUUUUUAAUCAGUGUCUUUCUUCAGGAUAAUUUUAAGAAAGUUUUAUCUCUUUUUAACAAAAAUAGAGACGAAAUGUCUAUAAUUUUAGAGCACUUCGUACGUCGUCAAUUACGUGAACAACACGAAUCUCAAAAUCUUAUGAACGAUGAAUAAAAAUGUCUCACGUUAGGAACAGCUCCCACUAAUAUAUUUAUCUUUUUUUUUAAUCUCAUUUAUUUUUUUUAUUUUCAGCAAUAGUCGCAGAUUAAUAGAAUAUUUGCCCAAAAUAAUUUUAGAUCUUGUGUCGUAUCGUUGUCAUUCUUUUAUUUAUUUUCUUUUAAAAACACAAACUUCUUGGACUAUGCAAAGCAAUAGUUGUUGCCAGUUAUCUUUUAAAAUUUAUCAAAAUUUAUUUUUUGAUCCAAAUAUUGAAAUCAAAAUUAUUAUUAUUCUCACUUUGAAUAAGUCCGUUCUCUCUCUAGCAAACUCUUUUUGACUAGUCACGUAUUUUAUUUUUCCAAAAACUCGGGGGAUCUUCAAAGUAAAAUGGCUUUAAACACGCAUUUUAAUGCCAAUUUUUGUCUAUAUAUUUUACAAUAUAUUCAAACUAUAUAUCUAUAAAAAUAAAAGAGCGAAUAAAAAUUCAAGUAGUUAUAUAUGAAGAUUUGUGCCUAAUUAAAAGAAUAAAAUUUAAAUAGAAAGAUAUACAAAGAUUGGCGCAAAUGUGUAAACCAUAAAUAUGAAGUGAAUUAAUUGGAAAGCAAGGGACUAAUCUGUAAAAUACGGUUGUGGACCAACACUGAUGGUGACUUUUGCAAAUUAACCCCCCAAGAAUCUAUGGGCUGGAUUGGGACCAACCACGCCCCUUGGAUCACAAAAACGCGCUUGUACGAAAUGUACUGCUGCAAAAAGUACAGUUUGAAGAAGUGUUUUUUUUUUUAUUUAAAAUAACAUACUAUUAUCCGUAUCAUUUAUUUUUGGCCAAUUUGCAUAAAAAAUUCACUAAUUUUGUGCUUUUGCAAAAGUGGGCCACAUUUUUAGUUUUUGCAUAUUCGGGCGGAAUUUUCAGAAGGAUGACCAAACUACCCCUCUUUAAAUAUUCAUAAAAAUUAUAUACUUUAAAUGUCUAGAAAAAUACAACUGCUAAGCCAUUAUGUAUAAAACUUCUUGGAAAUGACAACUGCUAAGCCAUAAUUAUAUGCAUGUACCUUUUUUGUAAAACAAGAAACCUUAUUCAAGAGAAAAUAAAAAAAAUAAAGAUUAAUUAAUAAGAUGAAAGAGUGCAAUAUUCUCUUAAAUAGUGCAACAAUCUCUUCAAAAUAGUGCAAUAUCUGUAUAAGUAGUGCAACAUAUGCAUUGUUAAUACACAUUUUGCAUGAUUUUUACACUAAAUUACGCACAGUUUAGUAUAUUACACGAAAAUAAUAUAAUAUAUUACAACAUACUAUAAAAAUUAUACAAUAUAUGUACAAACGGUGCAUAUUUUACACUAUUUAUUCAUAUAUUUACACCAUUUGUGUAAAUAUUGCACGAUUUUGAGAGGAUGUUGCACCAUUUAAAUGUGUGUUGCACUCUUUCUUUUUGAAAAUUAAAUUUUAUUGCAUAUUAAAUAAAGUGUAAAACUUCUUGAAAAUGACAAAUGCUAAGCCAUAAUUACAUGCAUGUACCUUUCUCGUGAAACGAGAAACCUCAUUCAAGAGAAAAUAAAAAAAAAAAAAGAUUAAUUAAUAAGAUGAAAGAGUGCAAUAUCCUCUCAAAUAGUGCAACAAUCUCUUCAAAAUAGUGCAAUAUCUGUAUAAGUAGUGCAACAUAUGCAUUGUUAAUACACAUUUUGCAUGAUUUUUACACUAAAUUACGCACAGUUUAGUAUAUUACACGAAAAUAAUAUAAUAUAUUACAACAUACUAUAAAAAUUAUACAAUAUAUGUACAAACGGUGCAUAUUUUACACUAUUUAUACAUAUAUUUACACCAUUUGUGUAAAUGUUGCACUAUUAUGAGAGGAUGUUGCACCAUUUAGAUGUGUGUUGCACUCUUUCUUUUUGAAAAUUAAAUUUCAUUGCAUAUUAAAUAAAGUGUAAAACUUCUUGGAAAUGACAACUGCUAAGCCAUAAUUACAUGCAUGUACCUUUCUCGUGAAACGAGAAGCCUCAUUCAAGAGAAAAUAAAAAGAAUAAAGAAUAGUUAAUAAGAUGAAAGAGUGCAACAUCCUCUCAAAUAGUGUAACAAGCUCUUCAAAAUAAUGCAAUAUCUGUAUAAGUAGUGCAACAUAUGAAUUGUUAAUACACAUUUUGUAUGAUUUUUACACUAAAUUAAUUACAUACAGUUUAUUAUAUUAUAUGUUGCAUAUUAUUUUCGCGUAAUAUAUUAAACUGUAUGUAAUUUAGUGUAAAAAUUAUGUAAAAUGUGUAUUAACAAUGCGUAUGUUGCACUACUUAUACAGAUAUUGCACUAUUUUGAAGAGCUUGUUGCACUAUUUGAGAGGAUGUUGCACUCUUUCAUCUUACUAAUUAUUCUUUAUUUUUUUAUUUUCUUUUGAAUGAGGUUUCUCGUUUCACGAGAAAGGUACAUGUAAUUAUGGCUUAGCAGUUGUCAUUUCCAAGAAGUUUGACACUUUAUUUAAUAUGUAAUGAAAUUUAAUUUUCAAAAAGAAAGAGUGCAACACACAUAUAAAUGGUGCAACAUUCCCUUAUAAUAGUGCAACAUUUACACAAAUUGUGAAAAUAUAUGUAUAAAUAGUGUAAAAUAUGCACUGUUUAUACAUAUAUUGUAUAAUUUUUAUAAUAUAUUGUAAUAUAUUAUAUUAUUUUUGCGUAAUAUACUAAACUGUAUGUAACUUAGUGUAAAAAUCAUGCAAAAUGUAUACACAAUGCAUAUGUUGCACUACUUAUACAGAUAUUACACUAUUUUGAAAAGCUUGUUGCACUAUUUGAGAGGAUGUUGCACUCUUUCAUCUUAUUAAUUAUUCUUUAUUCUUUUUAUUUUUUCUUGAAUGAGGUUUCUCGUUUCACGAGAAAGGAACAUGUAAUUAUGGCUUAGCAGUUGUCAUUUCCAAGAAGUUUGACGUUUUAUUUAAUAUGCAACGAAAUUUAAUUUUCAAAAAGAAAGAGUGCAACACACAUCUAAAUAGUGCAACAUCAUCUCAUAAUAGUGCAACAUUUACACAAAUUGUAUAAAUAUCUGUAUAAAUAGUAUAAAAUAUGCACUGUUUGUACAUAUAUUGUAUAAUUUUUAUAAUAUAUUGUAAUAUAUUAUAUUAUUUUUGCGUAAUAUACUAAACUGUACGUAAUUUAGCAUAAAAGUCAUGCAAAAUGUGUAUUAACAAUGCAUAUGUUGCACUACUUAUACAGAUAUUGCACUAUUUUGAAGAGCUUGUUGCACUAUUUGAGAGGAUGUUGCACUCUUUCAUUUUACUAAUUAUUCUUUAUUCUUUUUAUUUUCUCUUGAAUGAGAUUUCUUGUUUCACGAGAAAGGUACAUGCAUGUAAUUAUGGCUUAGCAGUUGUCAUUUCCAAGAAAUUUUACACUUUAUUUAAUAUGGAAUGAAAUUUAAUUUUCAAAAAGAAAGAGUGUAACACACAUCUAAAUGGUGCAAUAUCCUCUCAUAAUAGUGUAACAUUUACACAAAUUGUGUAAAUAUCUGUACAAAUAGUGUAAAAUAUGCACCGUUUAUACAUAUAUUGUAUAAUUUUUAUAGUAUGUUGUAAUAUUAUAUAUUAUUUUUUCGUAAUAUACUAAAUUAUGCGUAAUUUAGUGUAAAAAUUAUGCAAAAUGUGUAUUAACAAUGCAUAUGUUGUACUAUUUAUACAAAUAUUGUACUAUUUUGGAGAGUUUGUUGCACUAUUUGAGAGGAUGUUGCAUUCUUUCGUCUUAUUAAUUAUUCCUUUUUUUUUAUUUUCUCUUGAAUGAGGUUUUUCGUUUCACGAGAAAGGUACAUGUAAUUAUGACUUAGUAGUUGUCAUUUCAAGAAGUUUUACACUUAGUGACUUAACAGUUGUAUUUUCUAGGCAUUUAAAGCAUAUAAUUUUUAUGCAUUUUGACAGAAGGGUAGUUUGGUCAUCCUUUUAAAAAUUCGGUCCGAAUUUGCAAAAACUAAAAAGGUGGCCCACUUUUGCAAAAGCGCAAAAGUAGUGGAUUUUUUAUGCAAAUUGGCCAUUUAUUUUUUUAAAUAAAUUUAACUGAAAAUAUAAAUUAAUUAUAAUUUGAAUUUAAAAUCUUGAAUAUCAAUUACCAAAUCUUUUGAAAUUAUUGCCCACAAUGGAUUUAUAAUUAGGCUUAAUUACACUCCAUGACACUGCACCUAUGUGUUAUUUUUAUGGGUUAAUUUUAUAAAGCUCUUUAUAAAUUUAUCGAAUAAUAAAUAUAUUUAUAUAAAGUUUAAAUUUUCAUUUUUGUCCUUAUAAAAGUUCAGUGAUAUUCAUAUAUAUUUCUUUAGUUUGCUACUGUUAGAGCACUAUUUAUUUUUUAAUAGAAAAUAAGUGAAAUAAUAUUUUUGUCUUCACAAAUAUGUCCAUUAAAAAAUUUCAACUGUUAGAAUAAUACAGAAAUAUCCUCUAAAAAAUUAUUUAAAAAUGCUAAAAUUUUUGCUGAGAUAAAUAUAAAAAGUUGAACUUUGUAAGCCCAAGAUCACCAGGGGUUGUGAGACUUAUCUCCGCUAGUCUUUAGAUUCCCACUUCCGGCUGGUAAAUUGACUCUGAUAUCAAAUGUAACGACCCAACCCACUAACAAUAAUAACUCGUUGGGCUCAAACACUAGCCCAAAAUACUUAAGCCCAGUUAUUCUUAUUAGGAUGAAGUUUUUUAUAAACCUAAUAACAAUCCAAUUUCCAUCCGAUGCAGAACUAUUGGAAUGUCACAAGUUAUUUUGAUUCUGUUCCGAAUAAGUAUUUAAAUUAUAAAUAAUUUUUAUUUUUUCUUAAAACAUUAUUUGAGUUCUAAAUAUUAUUUUUCUAAAAUAAUAUGAUUAAAGAAUAGUUGCUUUAUGAUAAAAUAUUAUUUUGUACUUACUCUUAUGUUUAUUAACAUAAUAGUUUUUUAUUUAAAUUUAAAUAUUCAAAUUUUGUAUAUAUAAAAAAUCAUAAGUAUUUGGGCAUGCACGGAUUUCUUUUUUAAAUGGUUAAAUCAUAUAUAUCAAAUUAUUUUUAAAUUUUAAAAUACUGAUUAUUAAAUUUUAAGUGCAGCGUAUGAAGUCCAUGUAUAUAGCGGGUGCAGGCAAAUUUCUCCAAUAAUGGAGCCUAUUACCCUUCUCAAUUUUUGUUCUUUUAAUUUACAUUAUUUUUAUUAAUUAAAUUAAUUUCUAUCAAUUUUAAGGACUUAAUUGUCAUGAGCAUUUUUGACCCGAUGAAAAUUUACAUUUUACAAAAUGAUAAUUAAUAGCUAAUGUGGCUAUUAAUUUAAUUUAUCUUAAAAUGGUAGUUUUAAAAUAACUCAGUAAAUUAUUGCAGGAGUAUCAAUUCAAAAAAAAAAAAAAAUCAAAAAAUGAAGAAUAUAUCUCAAAAUGUACUUAACUUGGAGUCUCCAUAAUUUUUUUUUAUUUUUAUUUUUAAAAUUAUGCAAUUAAUGGACCGUCAUUUGGAAUGCAAAUGGGGCUGAUUCGGGGUCAGGAUGGUCACCACCUCCCGCUCCGUUUGUUAUCGGAUCGGAACAAAUUAGGGGUGGGUUAAUUUUAGUUCUAUCUUUGACUUCUACUUAUCAUCCAUUCGAGGCAGGAGCGAAUUUUUAACUGAUUCGAUCAAAACGAAUCAUCCCCCCCUCGCUCCAUUACAUCUUUCGAUAUUUUUGUUUCCAUUUAGGGUCCAUUUGUUUUGGUGUAAGCGGAGUGGUGGAACUCAAGUUCCAUCGCUUCUAUUAUUUGUUUUGGUGUAAGUCAAAAAUAUAAUGUAACUGAAGUUACAUUAGAACUUUACUUCACCUACUCUCUACUUCCUUCUCUAAAAUGCCGAACUCGACUUCCGCCACAUUCAACCUCCUCUAAAAAUUUAUUAAAUAGUAAAAUCUAAACUUUACUUUUUUUAUAAUAGGUUAGAAUUACCUUAUUUAUAAUAAAUUAGGAUUACCUUUAAAUAAUAAUAAAAAAUUUAAUUAUAUAAUAGGUUAAAUUUUAUAGCGGUAAAUUUAUCAUUAUAUUUAGGAGAUAACGGAAUCCACUUACUUACAUCAAAACAAACAACAAAACUCAAAAAAUUAAUUUUACCAGCACCUAAUUAGAUAAAAACAAACAAAAAAAAAAUAAUCACAUUUUAAGAAAACUCAAACACCACUGCACUUGACUUACAAUUUUUUUUUUUUGAGAUAGGUAGCAUGCUACCCGCUUCGUUUAUUUCAUUUAGAAAUAAAUUUAGUUAGAAAUGUGAAUCAACUAGGCUUCGAACUUGGGACCUCGGGUACCAACCACCAAUCCCUUUUUCAUUUGCGCUAGGGAUGGUCAGUACUUGACUUACAUUUGAUCUACAGAUUCGUCAAUCCAAAUGCUGCUCCCUUACCGUUUCAUUUGGAACGGAUUGAGGCGGGGACUCCACCAACCCGGAUCCAUUUACAUCCCUAAUCAUAAUCCUAUUUCACAUUAUCGAUUUUCAACAUGAAUUUUGCCCCCUUUUUAUUUUUUCAGUGGUUAAGGUUCGUUAUCAAUCAAAAGCAUGGAUGGGGCUUUUGCAUUCCAAAAGCUGACCCUAAAACAUUGGAGCAGGAGGAGGUGAUGUUAGUUGAAGCACCGAAAACUAAAUCCGAAUCCAAACCCGAACCCAAAUCUGAAUCCGUGCCCGCAGAGUCCAGGUUGAUGUCCUGGAGCUGCACGUUCUGACACGGCGCCUCCGGGCUGCACGAGAAGGUCACCGCCACCGGACUGUUCGUCGUCCCCCUGAUCCGUCGGAACGCCACGUCCCGAAUCUUAACAUGGGAGGGCUGCAUCAAGUUUGUUAGUUCUCAGCGAGUUUUGAAUUCGAAAGGCAACAAAAAAUUAUCAGAGAUUACACUAAGGGCAUGUUUGGUUGUACGUAGUUGUAACUGUAUCUAAAUUUAAAUUCGGUAUUUAUUUUGGUAGAUUUGAAUUCAACUGCAUUAAGAGGCUCAACUGCAGCAAUUAAAAUUACGCCAAAAUUUGCCACUGUUCCAACUAUAGCACUUGAAAACAGUAAUGUUCAACAGAGAUAAGCUUAUCUUUCUAAUAAUAUUUUUCCCCCUUUCCUACACAGGAGGUAAUCUCACCACCAUAUUAUAAGAUAAUAGAUAUUUGUAAAUACACAUCUUAACCGUAUAUAAUUAAACAAAAUAGUUAUAGUUGUAGCAUUUUCUACUAAAUCCAACUAACUAAGAUUUAUGUAACAUAACUGUUAUAUAUACAUAUAUACACACUGUAUUUACAAUUGCGUCGAAUUAAACGUGCCCUAAGAGAUGUUUGGAUUGACGUUGUAUUUUGACCGUACAUUAAAUAUUUAAGGUUUUUUUUUUGAGAGAUAGGUGUCGGACUAAAUGUGCCCUACGAGAUGUUUGGAUUGACGUAGUAUUUUGACCGUACAUUAAAUAUUUAAGGUUUUUUUUAAAAAAAAUAGGUAGCACGCUAUCUGCUUCGUUUAUUUCAUUUAAAAAUAAACUUAGCUGAAAAUGUGAAUCAACUAAGAUUCGAACUUGAAACCUUGGGUACCAACCACCAAGUCCUUUGUCAUUUGUUCUAGAGACGGUCGGCAGCCAAUAUUUAAGAUUAAAUCAUUGUUGUGGACGUUAAAAGUAUCACUUCUAUUCUAAUAAACUUAUUUUACAGUCGAGUUAUAAUUACAUCAAUUCAAACACUCCCAUAUGAAAAUCACGGUAAAUCCGGUGUAUAAAAAACUAUUAAAAAAUUAUAUAAAUAAAUUGUCAAUCACAUUCACCAACACUCCAGAUCUUAUCAUUUUUUUAAAAAAAUUUCUUGAUGAAUUUCACAAUGUUCCUAAAGAAACAACAAAAAUCGAGUAAAAUAGUUAAAAAAAAGGUUUUCUAGCUUUUUUUCAAAAUUGUCCAAGUUUAAAUGAUCAUGAUCAAGUGAAACCACAUUAGAGAUUUUUGGAGGGGAGGGUUUGAGCUUUUCAUUUUACCCUCUCUAAUAAUUGUCUCCAUGGAUAUGCAAAUUUGGCCAGAAUUUAAACAAUAGGUAUAAGCUAUUGACACUAAAUAGCCAAAUCUAGGCGCGACUGCAAAAAUGCGGCCUUUCGAUAAAGCUCUGAAUCCGUAGCUUUCUCAGAAAGCCAUAGAGCGCGGCUCGCUUGUGAGCCAUACCAUCAGGCCAAACAGGUCCUAUAUCUUUUCUGCCGAAAUGUCGUUCUCUGAUUCAAAUCAUAUCACGAGCAAGUGUGAAUGUAUGAGUACGUGUGACCUACUGACAUGUGAAAAGAGAGAGAGAGAGAGAGAAAAAAGAACUGAAGGUUAAGGGCAAGUACCAGAGUGGUGCAGUUGUGGACCGGACAGUAGACCUGAUCGAUGAUGAUGGGGCGGGUGACGUUGUGCAUGACUAUGUCCUCGAAGGUGAUGUCGGAGGCGGCGCUGGGCGGGGAGCCUGGCCACGUCUUGAUUCGAACUCCGUUCGUGGUGCCGACCACCGUGCAGUUCCGCACCCGCACCCCUGCCACGUCCUCCUCGUUCUCGUACUUCCCGAGGCUCCCGACACUGAUCGAAAUAACAAUGAACAAUCACAACUUUGGCGGAUCUAUAUAGCGCAUUGAGCUGCAUGUAUAAACUAAUUAAAUAUCUUCAUCUGAAGUAUAUAUGCCCGCGCGCAUAUAAUUAACAAAUAUGAGUAAUGUUGUAUAUAUGCAUACAUAUUUUUUAACAUUUUAUUUUUAUGCCGAUGUUGAGAAUCUCAAUUUGACGGUCGACACGAUGUUUUGCUUGGUUUCAUCAAAAUACUACUAUAAAAGUUUGGAAUGUCGAAUGUCCGACUUAAAAGUUCGAGGGCCAAAGUAAGUUUUGAGUAUAGGAAUGAUAAGGUGUUUGAUGAUUUGCUUCUUUUUACCUGAUGCCGUGCCCCGGACCGCACGUGACGUUGAACACCGUGAUGUUGGUGGAGCCCGGGCCGAUAGAGAUGCAGUCGUCGCCGGUCCCGACGGUCAGGCUGGUGAGGUUGACGUGGCUGGAGCGGCUGACGUGGAUGCCGUCGGUGUUGGGGCUGUCGCCGGGCGCGGAGAUGUUGAGGUGGUGGACGGUGAUCGACGUGCUGCGCUGGAUCGCCACGUGGAAUCCCAUGCUGUUCUGGACGGCGAGAUCGGCGAUCCUCCCGCUGUUGAUAUUUAUGAACCGCAGCGACUACAGUAAUACAGCGGAAGUGCUCACCACUAGGAUGUCCGAAAGUGCUGAACAUAAAUAUUAAAAAUACUAAUCUCGGUAUCUAAAGUUAUUGGAGAUAAAUAAUUAUUUUAUAUAAUUUUAAUAUGAUAUCACAGUAGCGAGAUUUCGAAUUCGAAUACUAUCAAACUCUUAUAGAUAUUUAAGUUUCUUCCAUUUAAUUGAAGCCCACAUCUUCGGCUUAUCAAAAUAUUUUUGUUGGCUAUUUAUUAUUGGGUUAAAAUAGCACCAAUUUUCUGUCCCGUGACAAUAGGUUCGGGAGACUAAUAAGUUGAGUUGAGUGGAUGUGUGGUCCACAAGAGAUCUAAUGACAAGAGGCUUAAUAAUAGACCCAAUAUCCAGAUGAGUUAAAUCAGGUCAAAAGUUCGCAAGCGCUGUAGUUGAGCUUUUAAGUGUGAUGGGUGCGUGCUUCCUAUCAGCACGUACUUUUAGAAUAGUUAGUUAGCAUUUACCAUCCACAAUUUCGAGACCAGAUAAGAUGAGUGUAAAAUUUAAAAAAUAUAAUAUGAUAUUAGAACAUGAGAUCAAAUCUCAUCAUGCUUCUAGCAUUGUUAAUUUUCUACCAUUUAAUUUAAGUUCUCGACUUUGGCCUAUCUAAAUGUCUCAAGUCCAAACGUGAGUGAGAGUGCUAAAUAUAAAUAUUAAAAGCAUAUUUUUCUACCAGCUUUCAGAGUUUUGAAGAACAAUGAAAGUUACAAGUCCCGAAUUCGACCCUGUGAUGAACGUUAAAUUAUCUCUCUACAUCCAUUUUCUCAAGAAAAUCUUACCAUGGGACGGUUCUUGCUUUUUAGUUCGGUUGCGGCCGUCCAUGCGUCGGCGCCCUGGCCGUCGACGACACCUCCGCCGUCGACCGCCAACUUUUGCAAAUUGCGGAACUCGAUCCAGUAGAGCCCGGGGACGCCGGCGAGGCCCGGAGCCUUUAGGGUUCCGUGGAUUUGGAUCCUCGGCGACGACGGGCCCAUGCAAGGCCCCUUGAAGCUUAUUGGGCCUACUAGGAAGUUCCCUGGGGGUAUCACUAAGGUUGCAGAUCCAUUUUGGGCACAUGCUGCGUCCCAUGCAUUUAAAAAGGCCUGAUAUAUAUACUAACUCAUAAGUCUAUGUACGUAUAUACAUACGUAUUCUAUACACGUUUGUAUAUAUGUGUGCGUAUAUAUGUGCUUCAUGUAAAACAUCAGAUAGAAUAUAAUUUAUGUACGUAGUACAAUCAUAUAAAAGAUAUGCGAGAUAUAAUACAAAAAUUUAAUCUAUUAAUUAAAUGUUAAAUAUGAGAAUUUGCUAUCUCACGAACUAUAAUACUCAAACAAAGCUUGAUGUUUUAAUAAUUUAUAUUCACCUAUUUGCAAUGGAACUCAAAAUAUACAAAUAUAUAUAUACACACGCUAGCUAUCAUUGUUACUACUCCAAAAAAGAAAAGAAAAAAAAGCUAUAAAUAUUGCAACAAUGAAACAACAGUGGAAAUUUCUCUUAACUCAAUCCAAUGAAGCUAAUUUGAGAAUCAUAGAAUAUAUAUGAUAUAUAUAGCUCAAAAUUUUAGCUUCUGUGGCAUAUAUAUAAACAUUAAUCCAAGAAAUAAACAUAACACUAAACUUAUACACCAUGAUUUAAUUAGGCACAUUAUGCAUAUAAACCCUUAGUUCGUUUUCAUGAGAAACUCUACCUUGCUAUUUAUGUCGGCGGUUCCAUUGGGCGACGCAGAAUACUUGGUUACGUCGAAAACGACCUCGGCGCGGCUGAACUCAACCAUGCACAUAACCAAGCAAGUAAAACAAGCUAGGUUUAGCCCAUUCCUAACUCCAUAACUGUGAAUCAUUUCCUAGUUGGAUCGAGGCGGUUUCAGAACCCUCCGACAACAAACGCAGGCCCCGACCGGACUUAAUGGGGCCGACGACGAUGAGGAGGAUGAAAAAAGAUGAGAUUCAAGCAAAUUUGCUCCAUAUAUACCUCCCAAUUAAUGUAAUUAACCUAAUUGCUACUAAUUAUAGUUAAUGACAAGAUUUGGGAGGUUGUUUCUGACUUAACCUAAAUAUAUAGAGCAACCUCUCAAAAUCGCAUUUCUUAUGACUUUUCCAACUAAUUUCUAUCAAUUCCAACUCUAAUUUGGGCAUCUCCUUUUUGUCUUUUUUUUUUUCUUUCUUUUUUUGGAUAAAAAGGAAAAGUGUAAUAGCUAGGUAUCCAUUUUUUGUAAAUUUGAUUCUUUUUUUGUAUAUAUAAAUAGUUAUAUUCAAAUAAUACUUUGUUUAAGUUCCGGUUAAACCAAACAUGCCUCAAAUUUCAUUCCAUAAAUAUAUAUAUGAUGGAUGGAUCACCCCCAAUUAAUGGUUAAGACAAAUCCAAGAAAUUAACUCACAAAACACAUCAUAUAGAUACUUUGCUACAAAUGACAACUACAUAUAUAUAUAUAUAUAUAUAUAUAUAUAUAUAUAUAUAUAUAUAUAUAUAUAUAUAUAUAUAUAUAUAUAUNUUACAUCAUUCAAGCUAACAACAAAAAGCACACAAAUUAAACUACCUCCCUGCAAGUAUACUACUUAGUACACAUAUUAAUACUUCACUAGCCAAUAUAUAUACAUAGGUCCAUAUAAUUAGUCACACACUUGGACAUGUAUAAGCUAAUUAUGUGGACUAGCUAGGAAAUUAAACAAACACAUUGAGUUUGGCCUUUUGGAUGCCCAUCAUCAUCAUCAAUGAAGCUCUACUGGGGACUAAAAAGCCGAGAUGUUCGGUUUCCGAGGACGAUAACCGACGAAUAGGACGCCACCGUAAGCCCUAGCAGCUUGGUUGCUAUCAAUCACUGCUGCUUCUUUCUUUGGAGGAGUAUUUUUCAUCUGAGAGUACUUAGAAUUGUUUCUGUAGGAAUGAUCAGUAGAAGAGGUUGUUGUUGUUGUUGUUGUUGUUGGUGGUGGUGGUGGUGGUGGUGGUCUCCUUUUUUUGUUGGCUAAGUACUCCUCCACCAAGUCAAACCCUUCCCUCCCUACCUUCACAAGAUCUGCAUGAUAAGCCAUGUCAAAGCUUAUAUGUAUAUAUGAAUAUGUAGGAGGUGAUUAAGCUAUAUAAAGAGCUUAAUUAUUUGUUAGUUAAUUUGGUGGUUCUUAAGGAGAAGAUGAUAUACUAAACAGUACCCCUUCUUAUAGGGUUACUUGUGUGGACUUUAGGGUAUAGCACGUGUUUGGCUUAGAUUCUGAAAAGUGAUUUUAGGAUCAAAAGUAAUUUUUUCUUUAAUAGGGCGGUUCGUAAAUCGUUUUUCAAAAUCUGAUUCUGAUUUAUAAAAUCAGUUUUCUAAUUUUAGAGGCUCAAAAUCAGAAAUAGCUAAAAUCUAUUUUUUGAAAUUUGAUUCUAAGUUUAAACUUAAAUUUUAAUUUCAAAUUCAAAUUUAAACUUUAACUUAUUUUAAAAUAAAUAUAGUAAAAAAAAUUAUUAUUCCAAACAACAAAAAAGUUUUGCUAAACAAUUUUAUAAACUAUUUCAGAAAAAUCGUUUUCCAUCUAAACUCAACCAAACGCUCUAUAAAUUAUAAUCAAAAUUAAUUCUGUAAAAAUCGUUUUUCCAAUAGCUAGACCAUAAAAAUCGCUUUUCCAAUAGCUAGACCAAAAGGGCCCAUAUUUCCUAGUUUAAAUUCUUAUUCUCUUUUAAUUUUUAUAUGUAAUGAUUGAGCUUAGAUUAUUAGUUCUCACUUUUUGGUGAUAUGUUCUUAUCUCACUUUGAAGAGGACCAAGUAGUGUAAAGAUAUUAUUUCUCCUAUUUUAAUCAUAUAUGUAAUAUGUAGCAUCUACUACACUAUAUUCUACCAGAAUCUCAUGAUUAAUAUGAGUAGAUAUUUUUGCUUUUAUAUAUCACGCUUUCUCUUGAAGCUACUACUUUCACUGAAACAAAUAAACCCUUUCUGUGGUAAAUCUUUGAACACUUUUCCAAUAUUUAUCAGCUUACUAAUAAAGUUUAGGUUAUUUAGAAUCUUGAGUAGUAGAUGGCUUCUUAAUAUUAUGUGACAAAAGAUAUUCUACAUAUUUUUAAGCAUAUAUGAAGUAGAUAUUUUUGCUUUUAUAUAUCACACUUCCUCUUGAAGCUACUACUUUUACUGAAACAAAUAAACCCUUUUGUGUGGUGAAUCUUUGAACACUUUUUCAAUAUUUAUUAGCUUACUAAUAAAGUUUAGGUUAUUUAGAAUCCUGAGUAGUAGAUGGCUUCUUAAUAUUAUGUGACAAAAAAUAUUCUACAUAUUUUUAAGCAUAUAUGAAAUAGAGGAAGGUGAAAAGGGGAUGUUGUGCAACCUCUCAUACAUCAAACUCUAAUUUCUUGCACAAAUCCUGGUGGUCCGCAGGGGCUCCACGCACGUGCUUAUAUUCGAGCUUAAAGCAUGAAUCAAUUUCGAUAAAUUUUAGUUAUCGAUGUAAGAUUGUUGGCGCUAAUCAUUAAUUCCAAAAAUUUGAGCUACUAGAAAGAUACAAUCAAUUCACUUAAUGUUGUACAAACAUAACGCUCAUGAUUUUUUAUUGUGACUCAGGGUCCAACUAACCUCCCGCCAUUUCGAAUAUGACUCAGCUCAAUCCGACUUUCUGCCAUUUCAAAUGUGACUCAGCUCAACUUGGCCUCCUGCCAUAGGGUAGGAUGAUGGUCUCUUUAAGCCAACAAUUGAGUCAUAGGACAUGCAUGAUUAAUCCGGAUCGAUCGAGCUUUUAGAUGAAGUGUUAUUUUCAAUAGAGGUGAACAAAAAGAAAAAACAUUAUGCUUUCUUUAUUUAACAUCAAUACUACUUGGUCUAGUAUAUAGGAAGCUAAUCCGAGCUUUCUUUCUGGUACUCAGACGCUUAUUUCAGCUUUCCAAAUAUUAAAUGUUCUCGUCAUUUCAUUCACCGAGCACUUAGGUAGUAGAGAAAUUAAGCAGUUCUUUUUUUUUUUCCCUUUUCCUCUCUUUCCCUCGCUCUUUGGAUCGAAUAUCACAUCUCUCCAUAUUUGUUUGAUACCAAAGUUUUUUCAUAUUGUUCUCCUAUAUCAUAUAUAGCGCGAAAGAAACCAAUUGACACUAACCGAGCUAAUUGUCUCGACUGAGCUUGAAUCAGCUCGUGAUCGAACUUUAAUUUGAUUCUUUGGUGGAUUAAUUCUAAUGCCAUUAAAAGCACCUAAUAAUGCUUUUAUUUAUUGCAAUAACCGCGAACCAAAUAUACAUAUCCAAAUCCUUUAUAUUGUUAAACUGGUAAAGAAAACUUGUGUUAUUAACUAGGUGAAAAGCAAAUUAGUCUAUGGUCAAGUCUAAGUUAGGUCGAAAAGCGCCCCAUGCAACACAUUGGAACAUAUUCGAGUAGGGAAAUGCUUUGCAAAGAAUCGCAUCGGUCAUUAAUCAAGAGAUCAUGCUAAUCUCGAUGAUCUGGCCCUUUCGUAGACGGUUGUGGAUUGAUAAAGAAACAUAAGAUAUAGAUAAAUAAAGUUAGAGAAUUUUGCGAAAAUGGUGAAACCACUUUAAACUUUGAUGCCUACAGAAUGUUUAAGUAAAUUAAGGUCUUAUCUGACAUCGCUAUUUGUGGUUGAAAAAAGAACUGAUACUGAAAUUGUGUUGAGUUGCAGGGUUUCUUGUAUAUCUUUUUUACUAUUAUUUGAUAGAAACUGGUAAGCAAAAAAGAAAAAAAGAAACUUCUAAUUAUGUUUUUUUUUUUGUUUUAAUGUCUUUGAAAAAUAGAAAGCCGAAAAAAGAUCUGAAACAUGCCCCGACAAAACUCAUUCUUUCUCCGCAAUAAAUAUUGUUGCAAUAUAUAUAUAAUAAUUUUUGCAACAAAUAAGAAUCGUCGCAAAUAGUUGCUAUAAAUCUUGUGGUAAUAAAUGACUAAAUAAUAUGAUUUGCAUUAUCACAACAGCAUAAGCUGUUGCAAUAAAAUAUUUUUUUAUAAUAAUUUAAUUUAAUUAUUGAUGCCAUUGAAAUGAUGUAAUAGAAUAAAAUUGUUAUAGUGUAUGCAAAUAUUGAGCCGUACCUUUCAAAAAGUAUAUGAUCCUAAUAUUUUAGUACUUAAAUCACUGCUAAUUAAGGUGUCUUCAGCAAUAAUGAUUUAUUCGUUAAAUAGUGAUCGAUCUGAAUUAUGAUUUUUGGAAUUUAAUUACCACCUAAAAUUUCACCUUCUGAUCCUUCAUUUAGAUGAGUCUUUUGCAUGUAUUUAAGUGUGCUUCUAUUUUGAUAUCAAGAGGUUGAUAAUGUUAACAUACCUAUAAUUUUGCUCACAAAAUCAGGGAAAAACUAUAGCCAAUUACCACCUAAAAUUUCACCUUCUGAUCCUUCAUUUAGAUGAGUCUUUUGCAUGUAUUUAAGUAUGCUAAUUGGCUAUAGUUUUUCCCUGAUUUUGUGAGCAAAAUUAUAGGUAUGUUAACAUUAUCAACCUCUUGAUAUCAAAAUAGAAGCACACUUAUUAUGACAGUUUUGUAUAUACAUAUGUAAUUAAGCUUGCUAGUUUCUAUUUGCUUUGAGAACACUUAACUACAUAUAUAUCUAAUUACAUAGACCACACUCCAUAUAGCAUGAGACUAAAACCUCACAACUUACAAGGAUACAUAAACCCAUACCAUAUGACACUACCUGAUACAUAUCUUAAGCUCAAGCACACACAUAUUUAUACUACUAAAGAGUGGUCUCACAGAAGCCAAAAAAGAGAUACCAAGCAAUACUAGUUGCUUCUUUGAUUGUUAUUAUUAGCACGCUUGCCGACCUUCUUUGCGGGAUACUCGGUGUAAACGAGCCCGCCAUAAGCCUUCGCCGCCUCGUUGCAAUCGAUCGCUUCUGAUUCUUUCUUACGAUUCUUGUUAUCGAUCGGUGGCGGUUUUUUCGGGUUCUUGGGUUUGUAAUACUCGAGCAAAUCAAAAGCAUCUGCACCCACCUUGUAGAGAUCUCUUUGAGGAGCCAUUAUGUGAUGAAGAGAGUAAGGAGAAGCUAUGAACUAAGUUGUGAUGAGAAGCUAAGGGUGAUUAUGAUACUCUUUAUAGGGGGCUAAUGUGUUGACUUGUUGACCUAAGUCAAUGGUCUUUGGUUCUCUUUGUGACUCUUUUGUUGCAUGUUUUGAGCUUAUCUAAUCUCCUGAUUUUUUGGGAGGAAGCCAGGUGGAGUGGAGUGGAUUGGACAAAAGGGGAGAGAAUGUGAGAAAGUGUGGAUAUUUUCAAAGGAAUAUGUCCCCUAUUCUUUUCAUGGGAGGAGAAUAUAUACUCUUUGCUUACUCAUUCGACACCGAUGAUUGGAUUGGAUCAAAAACGCCAGAAGCUUGUGAAAUUGUUUGUUGUAAGCACAAUAUUAAUCUUAGGGUGCGUUUGGUUCUUAUCCUGGCAGUAUUACAGGUAAUCCUGCCAGGAUAACUGUGUUUGGUUAAUCCGCUAUGUAAUCUAGUCGUUAAUGUAGUAUUACAAAUUGAGCAGGAUUACAUCGAAAAUAUUAACGGGAGGUGGGUUGUGUAUCUUGCAUUAUUGAAACCCGUUAAUACUACAUAUUAUGUAAAAUGACAAUUUUACCCUCCAACAACCCAAAAUCUAAUUAACAGUAUUAUUUUCAUCUCUCUCGCCUUCCCCCUGGCCCUAUUUCUCGUACGCCGCUUUCUCUCGCUUUCUCUCUCUCAACGUCUCUCUCUCUCUCGCGCGCGCACGAACACCUACCAUCUUCUAUUGCGUCGUCCUCCCAAGUAAUCAUCACGAUCUCCUUCCCUCCAUUCGUCAUUUUCGUAAAAAAUAAUAUUCAAAUGACAACAAUAAGGGCAAUUUUAGAAAAAACGAUACUUUUAUGUCAGGAUUACUAAAUUUUAUAAACUGAACCAAACACUGUAAUCUAGUAUUACAUUACUGUAUUAAACCAAAUGCUCUAAUGUAGUAUCAGUAGUAAUCUCACGUCGAAAUCCAAGAUACCUGGAUAUGUCGAGAUACUUUGUAAUAUUACAUAACUCGAACCAAACGGGCCCUUAAAGAAUGAUGAGAAAAGUUGUUUGAAUUUCAUUUUAGGGUGGCGAUGGGUCGGUUCAGAUUUGAACAUAGAUUAUAAUCUAAUUUCAUAUUGUAAUGCUUAUACGGGGCAAAUUA
rnacentral:lncRNA from 1 species